CCAACCUCCCUGGUUGAAAUCGUUGUUUUUGACGAAGAGCCCGAAGAACAAGUGGUACGAUCACCCAAACUUGCUCGAAAAAGACAACCAACCUCCUCGGACUUUAGGCCCGAAGAGAACUUCCCAUUUGAGCUCUACAACUCCUUCGUCCAUAAUACCGACAACCACCAGUUCAGCAAUAGCUCUAUCAUGGACCUGAUCAACGAGGGACUGAAGUACCAAGCUAGAGUAAGCUUAACUUAUCCAUUUACAUCUCGGCCCAUUAAUUUUGAACUGAUAGACUAACACUGAUCAUCCGCAGGCAAGCACUGUCUUCGGAUGCCUCCGCCCCAAAUACCAAGAGGCCGAAGCCGAAGAGAAAGCUGCUCGAAGAGAGAAUACCCUGCUUAAGUCUGCUCUGACGAAAGAUAGAAGUAGUCUCAAAGUUGCUUUUCACGAUAAUGAGUGCCUUCAGAAAGACCUUGCCCAAACCAAAGAAGAUUUGAAAACGACCCUGGCCACUCACCAAGUCAUCACUGAUAUAAAUAUUGAUCUGUCAAGCUAAAGGAUCAAAGCAUCCGGUACAUCGUCAGAAGUUCGAAGAAGAGCUCAAAGAGCUUCGGGCCCUUAAGAAUUUGAGUCCGCCACUGACCGAAGACUUUCGUAGGGAUAUCCAGGCAGAAUACAGAAAAUCCGCCAAGCUGAACAAUAAGAUUGUCCAUAUGUAUGCGAAAGGAUAUGAAAUCUGCCGAAGUAAAGGCAAGAAAAAGCUCGAGCCAAGGUAGAUCCAUCUCUUCUAGACUCUUUAGAUGGUGACGAUGACAAGGAAGAAGCCUGAAGAUGACCUCUCCUUAUCUCUA
rnacentral:lncRNA from 1 species